AUAUUGCACAAUGGGGGAAACCCUGAUGCAGCCAUGCCGCGUGUAUGAAGAAGGCCUUCGGGUUGUAAAGUACUUUCAGUUGUGAGGAAGGCGUUGAAGUUAAUAGCUUCAGCGUUUGACGUUAGCAACAGAAGAAGCACCGGCUAACUCCGUGCCAGCAGCCGCGGUAAUACGGAGGGUGCGAGCGUUAAUCGGAAUUACUGGGCGUAAAGCGCAUGCAGGCGGUCUGUUAAGCAAGAUGUGAAAGCCCGGGGCUCAACCUCGGAACAGCAUUUUGAACUGGCAGACUAGAGUCUUGUAGAGGGGGGUAGAAUUUCAGGUGUAGCGGUGAAAUGCGUAGAGAUCUGAAGGAAUACCGGUGGCGAAGGCGGCCCCCUGGACAAAGACUGACGCUCAGAUGCGAAAGCGUGGGGAGCAAACAGGAUUAGAUACCCUGGUAGUCCACGCCGUAAACGAUGUCUACUUGAAGGUUGUGGCCUUGAGCCGUGGCUUUCGGAGCUAACGCGUUAAGUAGACCGCCUGGGGAGUACGGUCGCAAGAUUAAAACUCAAAUGAAUUGACGGGGGCCCGCCAC
rnacentral:rRNA from 1 species